rnacentral:lncRNA from 1 species
GAUAAGCUGUGAUGGUAGGUUAAAAAGCCACCAAAGCGGGACGACUGGAUGAUAAUUUUUUGUAGUAAAAAGCCAUCAAAAUUGGGCAACCGAGAUGGAAGUUAUUGUAGUUAAAGUCACUAUCACAGGUGACAAGUGAACGACCAUCAUCACCAGAAAAACAAAUCCAGGAUGGCCAAUUUUUUCUGUGAUUUUUGUGAGUCG